rnacentral:rRNA from 1 species
CCCUUAGAUGUUCUGGGCCGCACGCGCGCUACACUGAUGCAUUCAACGAGUCUAAAACCUGCUCUGAUAGGGGUGGGUAAUCUUUUGAAUGUGCAUCGUGAUUGGGAUAGAUGAUUGCAAUUUUUCAUCUUCAACGAGGAAUGCCUAGUAAACGCAAGUCAUCAGCUUGCAUUGAUUACGUCCCUGCCCUUUGUACACACCGCCCGUCGCUCCUACCGAUUGAAUGAUCCGAUGAAUAUCAUGGAUUGAGGAUGUAAGCAGGUUCGCCUGUCUUCAUCUUCGAGAAGUGAAGUAAAUCUUAUCAUUUAGAGGAAGGAGGAGUCGUAACA